ensembl:lncRNA
CAAUUUUCGUGCAUGUACGUGAAACACAGCUGGAGGGCUGUUGAUUUUUUUACGAUAGGUGGCGCUGUCGAGCCAUUUUGCCACACCCUCUUCUGAAACCUAUAUCAGACGUAAAUUUUCACCAGGUCUGACGCGUGUGCAAAGUUUCAGGACUUUUCGAGCAUGUUUAGGCCCUCAAAAAUGCGAUUCAUUUUGGAGAAGAAGAAGAAGAAGAAGAAGAAGAAGAAGAAGAAGAAGAAUAAUAAUAAUAAACGAAGCAGAUACAAGAGGGUCCUCACACCAUCGGUGCUCGGGCCCUAAUAAACGAAGCAAUUCCAAUAGGGUCCUCACACCAUCGGUGCUCGGGCCCUAAAUAUAGCUGCAAGCAGCGAUGGCGGGCUCAAGCCAUCAGCGCAAACGCCACCCCGGUGGCAUCAGGUAAACUGUGCCCAGCGGGCACAUGCAUUUACAGUAAUCCUCUGGCACUCAGGUUUUAAGGGAUACGGCAAUUAACGUGUUAAUCCGAAGCAUCAAGACUUUGAAAUCACAUACACAGAACAAUAUUCAUUAAGAAAGU